UUCAGUUCUUUAUAUGCAUUCUCCUAAUUUUUAAUUGGUGGCAACUGAUUUUAACCAUUUUUUUGAAUAGGCAAACACCAAAAUAUCAAAACUUUUAAAGAACAGUGAAAAGGAUACCUCUCACCCCAGAUAUCCACCAUUCUCAAAUUUGUGUUUAUCCUUCCAGAGAAUAGUAAUGUCUUUUUCACAUAGAUAAUAGCAUACCACAUAUAUUUUUCUGCAUUUGGCUUUCAUAUCUUGGCGAUGUUUCCACACCAAUUCAUAAAGAACUCUUAACCCAUUUUUACAACAUUAUAGUAUUCCAUCAUAUGGUUGGGCUAUAAAGGAAUAAAACCCAGAUCAAUAAUCACUUGGGUUCUUUCUAAUCUUUUGCUGUCUCACUGUGCAGUGACUAACCUUGUACAUUUAUCUUUUCUUUCUUGUGUGUGUAAGCUGGAUUCCUAGGGGUGGAAUUACUGGGUCUGAGGACAUUUCCCCCCGCAACCCCCCCUUUUUUUUUUAAGAGAUUGGGUUUUGCUUUGUCAUCCAGGCUGGAGUGCAGUGGCAUGAUCACGGCUUACUGCAGCCUCAACCUCCUGGGCUCACUCAAGCGAUCCUGCUGCCGCAGCCUACUGAGUAGCUAGGACCAUUUCUAAUUUUGUUAGGUAUGCCAAUUGCCCCCCCAUGAGAAUGGUGUCCCACCAUCAAUGUACAAGAAUAUGUUUCUUCAAAAUAUCACCAGCAAGACCAGGCACAGUGGCUCAAGCCUGUAAUUCCAGCACUUUAGGAGGCUGAGGCAGGUGGAUCACUUGAGGCCAGGAGUUUGAGACCAGCCUGGCCAACAUGGCAAAACCCCAUCUUUACUAAAAACACAAAAAUUAGCUGGGCAUGGUGGUGCGCACCUGUAAUCCCAGCUACUUGGGUGCCUGAGGUGGGAGGAUCAUUUGAGCCCAGGAGGCAGGGGUUGCAGUGAGCUGAGAUCACACCACUGCACUCCAGCCUGGGCAACAGAGCAGACUCUGUCUCAAAAAAAAAAAAAAAUUCAAUAGUGUCAUCAAAAAUUUUAAUCCUUGCCAGCCUGAAAUGUGAAAAAUCUCAGGGUAUUUUUCCAUACUUAUUGGCAUACAUUAAGGUUGAGUAUCUUUUCAUGUUUUGCAUUUUCUGUGAAACUCCUGUUCAUAGCCUUUGCCUGUUUUGCUACUGUUUCCCUUUUUUGUAGGUGACAUUUUUUAGGGAGAUUAUCCCUUUGUAGCAUGAGAUGCAAAUAUAUUUUCCCAAUUUGUCAUCUAUCUUUUGAAUUUGCUUAGGAUUUUGUUGUUUUGGGAUUUUUUGGUUGAGUUUUCCGUUGGUUUUGCCAUGCAGAAGUUUAAAAAUUUUAUAUAAUCAAAUUGACCUCUUUUAUGGCUUCUCGAUUUUGUACACUUCGCCAAUGUUUUUAACCUAUUUCUUCAAUAGAUUCGUUUUAUUUUACUUUCUAAGACAGGGUAACACUUUGUCACCCAGGCUGGAGUGCAGUGGCACAAUCUCAGCUCACUGCAGCCUCAAGUUCCCUGGCUCGAGCAAUCUUCCCACCUCCCACCAAGUAGCUGGGUCUAUAGGCAAGCACCACCAUGCCUGGCUAAUUUUUCUAUUUUUUACAGAGAAGGGGUUUUGCUAUGUUGCCCAUGCUGGUCUUGAACUCCUGAGCUCAAGCGAUCCACCCACCUUGGCCUCCCAAAGUGGUAGGAUUCAGGUGUGAGCCACUGCACCCGGCCAAUAGAUUCAUUUUAUACAUUAAGCUCCUAAUCGAUUUACAAUCCAGGUGUGCUGAGUGAGGUAUGGAGCUCUAUUUUUUCCAGAAGUUUACCCAAUUGUCACAACAUGAAAACAUCUUAAAACAAUUCAGGGCAAACCACACAUUUCUGCCAAUCAGAUACAACCCCAUGGGCUGCUACCUUGAAACCUCUUGCUUUGGUGAGCACGAAGUUCACAUCCGCUGGGAAAGUGGGAAAGGGGGUUGACCGAAGAGCCUUGCUCUUGGGAAGAAAUCUGCAGUGACCUUUCUACUGGUGUCCCUGUCCAACAUCAGCCACAAAAGAAAAAGACUGGCAGGCCUCGGUGGCUCACGACUGUAAUCCCAAUACUUUGGGUGGCCAAGGUAGGAGGAUCGCUUGAGCCCAGGAGGUUGAGACUAGCCUGGACAACAUAGCAAAACCCCGUCUCUGUUUAAAAAAGAGAAAGAUCAGAUCACCCUUUCCUAGGCUGCAGUUACCCUUACCAAGGGGUUAGAGGCCAUCAAUAGUCAGCAACCGAGGACAUCAUUGACUGGACAAUGGAAAUGUCAGGCACUUUGCUUUAAUGAGGACGCACAUGAAGUCACCUGGCACAGGGACAGUGGAGCCGCUCAGAGGACUGAGGUUAGGGGUUGGUGAUGGCAGGGCGCAGUGUCCCGGCCUUCCUUCUCCCCAGAUGUUUCCAAGCGUCCCUUAAAGCUCAUUGUUUGGCAGUGCAAAUCCUAGGAACUUUGGAACGGCUACUUCCAGUUCACUUGUCACCUUUUCCCCAUAGAUUUCCUGUGCAACCUCACCCCUCCUAACAGGACAGGGAAACCCAGAGAGAGCAGCCUCCAUUCUCCCAUGACUUCUAACUCUGACACGUAAGGGCAGUCCCUGAGUCACUCGCUGUUCAGGCCCUCGGAUGCCGCUGGUCAACUGAGAAACGCAGGACAAUCAACCCUUUCCCCAUCACAGCCCGGGCCCUGCAACAGCAGCCUCCCAUUACUGAGAGCCCCUCGCCAGUGUGCCCAGCAUGCACACAGCUCACCUCAUGUCACCCUCACCACAACCCAUCAGACCAGAGCCAUCCUCAUGUCUUACCGCAGGGGCAGCUGGACUCAGAGAGAGCAAGUGAAAAGCCCAGCUCACACAGCUAAGAGGCAUGGGAGCGGACAGUGCUGCCAGGCAGGCUAACCUCAGGGCCAUGCUCCUAGCGUGGGGCCUGUGGGUCCCUGCUUUAGGACACUCAACGUUGCUGCGGCUUAAUCACAUGGGAUUUCCUUCCAACUCUCCCUGGCCCCUGUUUCAGGGGCUGGGAGGAGAAAGAAGCCUGGGAGUGCCCAACACUCAGCAGAUACUCACCCUUCCGGAAAUGAGUGUCCUCAACUGCUUGUCUAAAAAAUUAACAUUAGCUUUCUCCUUUUUCUUCUUUUUUGAGAUAGGGUCUCGCUCUGUUGCCCAGGCUGGAGUGCAGUGGCACGAUCUUGGCUUGCUGCAACCUCCACCUCCCAGAUUCGAGCGAUUCUCCUGCCUCAGCCUCCCGAGUAGGUGGGAUUACAGGGGUGCACCACAGCACCUGGCUAAUUUUUGUAUUUUUAGUAGAGAUGAGGUUUCACUAUGUUGGCCAGGCUGGUCUCGAAUUCCUGACCUCAAGUGAUCUGCCCACCUUGGCCUCCCAAAGCAGGUGGAUCACCUGAGGUCAGGACUUCGAGACCAG
rnacentral:lncRNA from 1 species